GAGAUACUUUUAGGAGUAAGCUCUAAGAGGUUAUAAGUAUUUGAGGUUGGCUCGGACUUUUGUCCCGUGCUCGUUGAUUAUUGAUUUAUGUUCUCAAUCUAAGUGGAUUGGUAGCUUAAUUUGAUCAAAUGGGUUCAUAGUCAAUCUUCUACUGAGGUUACCAAAUAGAGCAUGGUUUUCCAUCUGAGCCCAACUUUUCGUUAGGUCUUCUCAUCAACUCAAGGAUC
rnacentral:lncRNA from 1 species